CACCAUCACUUCACACGUUUCCAAUCGACAGCCGCGCCUCUUCUCCAGGCUCUUUCACCCCUUAUCCUCCAUUACCACCCAUUAACCUUCCACAUUCACAUAUAUCAUCAGCUACCUCCGCUACGAACCAAUCAGGAUCCUCCCUUUCUCUGACGUCAUUUGAUGAAAACUUUGCUCGAUGACAAAUUUCUAAUGCCACUGUGCACAGUCAUCAUGCAUUGGUUUGAAGUGGCGAUUUGAAGCAAGAAUGAGUAUUUGUUAUGUUUAAAAUCUCAAAACCCCUUAAACGGCUGACUCUGUCAAUCCCAG
rnacentral:lncRNA from 1 species